rnacentral:rRNA from 1 species
AUGGAGAGUAGGAGCAAGAUCCCGAGGGGGAGGCGAGCGGAGGCGAGAGUGGUGAGUGGCACUCAGAUGAAGAAGAGGACGAGGAGAGUGACGACCCGAGUGAUGAAGAAGAAGUCGACUCACCUCCUCGCAGAGAAAGGAGAUCCAAGCACACUCACGACCCGGCAAGCAUCCCCGACGUGGUGGCCGCACCAACUAGGGAGUCUUCAAAGCGCCCUCAGACGUCUUCUCUAG